rnacentral:rRNA from 1 species
GGACGAACGCUGGCGGCGUGCUUAACACAUGCAAGUCGAACGGAAAGGCCCUGCUUUUGUGGGGUGCUCGAGUGGCGAACGGGUGAGUAACACGUGAGUAACCUGCCCUUGACUUUGGGAUAACUUCAGGAAACUGGGGCUAAUACCGGAUAGGAGCUCCUGCUGCAUGGUGGGGGUUGGAAAGUUUCGGCGGUUGGGGAUGGACUCGCGGCUUAUCAGCUUGUUGGUGGGGUAGUGGCUUACCAAGGCUUUGACGGGUAGCCGGCCUGAGAGGGUGACCGGCCACAUUGGGACUGAGAUACGGCCUAGACUCCUACGGGAGGCAGCAGUGGGGAAUAUUGCACAAUGGGCGGAAGCCUGAUGCAGCAACGCCGCGUGCGGGAUGACGGCCUUCGGGUUGUAAACCGCUUUCGCCUGUGACGAAGCGUGAGUGACGGUAAUGGGUAAAGAAGCACCGGCUAACUACGUG